GUGGGGAAUAUUCUGCAAUGGACGAAAGUCUGACGGAGCAACGCCGCGUGAGUGAUGAAGGUUUUCGGACUGUAAAGCUCUGUUGUUUGGGACGAAAGUGCCUGUUGCGAACAGUUACGGGUAUUGACGGUACUAAACGAGGAAGCCACGGCUAACUACGUGCCAGCAGCCGCGGUAAUACGUAGGUGGCAAGCGUUGUCCGGAAUUAUUGGGCGUAAAGAGCAUGUAGGCGGGAAUCUAAGUCUGUUGUUAAAAUGCGGGGCGCAACCCCGUAUUGCGAUGGAAACUGGGUUUCUUGAGUGCAGGAGAGGAAAGGGGAAUUCCCAGUGUAGCGGUGAAAUGCGUAGAUAUUGGGAGGAACACCAGUGGCGAAGGCGCCUUUCUGGACUGUGUCUGACGCUGAGAUGCGAAAGCCAGGGUAGCGAACGGGAUUAGAAACCCCGGUAGUCC
rnacentral:rRNA from 1 species